GAAACUUAAGCAUAUCAAUAAGCGGAGGAAAAGAAAACAACAGGGAUUGCCCUAGUAACGGCGAGUGAAGCGGCAACAGCUCAAAUUUGAAAUCUGGCCUCGGCCCGAGUUGUAAUUUGCAGAGGAUGCUUCUGGCGCGGUGCCUUCCGAGUUCCCUGGAACGGGACGCCACAGAGGGUGAGAGCCCCGUAUGGUCGGACACCAAGCCUGUGUGAAGCUCCUUCGACGAGUCGAGUAGUUUGGGAAUGCUGCUCUAAAUGGGAGGUAAAUCUCUUCUAAAGCUAAAUACCGGCCAGAGACCGAUAGCGCACAAGUAGAGUGAUCGAAAGAUGAAAAGCACCUUGAAAAGGGGGUUAAAUAGUACGUGAAAUUGUUGAAAGGGAAGCACUUAUGACCAGACUUGGGCCGGGCGGCUCAUCAGGGGUUCUCCCCUGUGCACUCCGCCCGGCACAGGCCAGCAUCGGUUCUCGUGGGGGGAUAAGACCGUCAGGAACGUAGCACCCUCCGGGGUGUGUUAUAGCCUGGCGGACGAUACCCCCGUGGGGACCGAGGUCCGCGCUCCGCAAGGAUGCUGGCGUAAUGGUCAUCAGUGACCCGUCUUGAAACACGGACCAAGGAGUCGUCCAUUAGAGCGAGCGUUUGGGUGUAAAACCCGCACGCGUAAUGAAAGUGAACGCAGGUGAGAGCUUCGGCGCAUCAUCGACCGAUCCUGAUGUUCUCGGAAGGAUUUGAGUAAGAGUUUUAACGGACGGACCCGAAAGACAGUGAACUAUGCUUGUAUAGGGUGAAGCCAGAGGAAACUCUGGUGGAGGCUCGCAGCGGUUCUGACGUGCAAAUCGAUCGUCAAAUAUGAGCAUGGGGGCGAAAGACUAAUCGAUCU
rnacentral:rRNA from 1 species